CCCUGCCCUUUGUACACGCCGCCCGUCGCUACUACCGAUUGAAUGGCUCAGUGAGGCGUCCGGACUGGCCCAGAGAGGUGGGCAACUACCCCUCAAGGCCGGAAAGCUCUCCAAACUCGGUCAUUUAGAGGAAGUAAAAGUCGUAACAAGG
rnacentral:rRNA from 1 species